rnacentral:tRNA from 1 species
UAGUCUAGCUGGUUAGGAUACUCGGCUCUCACCCGAGAGACCCGGGUUCGAGUCCUGG